CCCGGAUUCCCUUUCUCCCUCUCGGCUUCCCAGCCCCCACAACCCAGCCGCACCACCAUUGUCGGCACCCCCACAUCGUCACUGGCGACCUUCCCCACCUUCUCUCUCUCUCUCUCACAAUCAGGCUUGAAGCCCAUAGCCCUCUCUCUCUCCUCCCUCAAUUUCUCUCAACUGCGCCAUCGCAAGAAGCCCACGAUCUCACUGUCAAGCCUCAUCGACCACCCCUCCCUCACGGCUCCACCGUCACACCAAAGCUAUUUCUCUCCCUCCCGAUCUUUCCUUUCUCUCUUGGAUUCCUUUAGAUCCGCCGCCACCUGCGGCUGCCACCACCACCACACCAUGCCGCAAUGCCACCAACCCCUUCCCUUCUCAAAUCCACGCCUUUCUCUCCCAUCUCCCUCAAGAAUCUGACGCGUUUUGGUGUGUUGCUGCCGUGCGCCGCCUCCAGCCACGACUGUUGCCACACGGGGUCAGCCCCGUGACUCAGCCCGAGUAACACCGUGCCCAGCUAGGCGAGGCCUUGCCUUCCUCUCUUUUCCCCUUCGGCCUCAAGCACCCAUGCACAUCCCCACCACCGUACAUGACCAAGCCAGCCACCCAGCACCACCCCUCUCCACCUCCUGCCGCCACCACGAAGCCCCACCAAAUCCUAACUACCCAAACAGCCCUGUCUUAGGGUCACGGUAGCGACCAUCGGGCCCCAACCGGCCUCUCCUAGCACAUGUGUAGCCGCCAUCGCAGGACCAUGUUGGGCAGCAAGCGAUGCAACAGAUCAGCCUUGACACAUGGUGACGCUUAAUUAUUGUUCGACAUCUUUGAGGAAAAUUCUGAAAAAGCUAAGAAGUCCAGGAUUACUAUACGUCUAAUAAUUCUCCUGGAUGUUGACCGAUCGGCCAGUAUCAUUGGCACCACGGAACCUUGCCUAGUCUUUUAUGAAAGAUGGGGCGCCACAUUGGAAACUGAGACACAUAUCAUCACCAUAGACCCAACAGUUACAAACUGUAUUCAUGAAAACUUAACACAAAUCCUUUGCUCUAAUCUCCUCUGUAACGUCUCUUUUUCCAUGUUCUCUUGUAUUUUCCUUUUACAUAUUUGUACAUACACUAUAUAUAA